CUUAACUUCAGAAACUGUGGAGAGGUUUGGGUCAUGAAAGGAGAGAUUAGCAAGUCAGAUCUGAUUAAGAACUUGUCAGGAAUUUUCAAAAACAAACAGUGGACAUGGCAAGUCAGGCCUCUGUCAGAUAAGAAGUUAUUGGUCAGAUUCCCACCCUAGAAAGAUGUAGAAGAGUUGAUUGAGUUUUCAGCUUUUGAUUUGCCUACCGAUGGAGUGUCUGUGACAGUUGAGAAGUGAACCGGUGCGAUUGAUCCUUUCAGGGAAUUAACUGAAGCAUGGGUGGUCAUUGAUGGGCUCUCGUCCAAGUGGUGUACAUGGAAAGUGCUGUCAAAGAUUGCUUCCUGCUUUGGAAUUCUUGUGGAUGUUGACUGGAAUGGUCUAAUGAAGAGUUUUUAUGAAAAAGUGAGGAUCAAGAUUGCUUGCAGGAACCCAACGAAAAUCCCCUUUGAGAGAAUCAUGGAAAUGAGAAAAAAGCUGUAUAUCCUGUCAUUUACAGUGGAAGGCUUUGAGUAG
rnacentral:rRNA from 1 species